CACGUAGGGGACGAGCGUUGUCCGGAUUCAUUGGGCGUAAAGCGCGCGUAGGCGGCUCGGAAAGUCGGUCGUGAAAUGCCGGGGCUCAACCCCGGGACUGCGUCCGAUACUUCCGGGCUGGAGGUAGGUAGGGGAGAUCGGAAUUCCUGGUGUAGCGGUGAAAUGACGCAGAUAUCAGGAGGAACGAGACCGGCUGGGCGGAAAGGGCGGGAUCUCUGGGGCCUUACCUGACGCUGAGGCGCGAAAGCUAGGGGAGCGAACAGG
rnacentral:rRNA from 1 species